CGGAGGGUGCAAGCGUUAUCCGGAUUUAUUGGGUUUAAAGGGUCCGUAGGCGGAUCCGUAAGUCAGUGGUGGAAUCUCACAGCUUAACUGUGAAACUGCCAUUGAUACUGCGGGUCUUGAGUAAGGUAGAAGUGGCUGGAAUAAGUAGUGUAGCGGUGAAAUGCAUAGAUAUUACUUAGAACACCAAUUGCGAAGGCAGGUCACUAUGUCUUAACUGACGCUGAUGGACGAAAGCGUGGGGAGCGAACAGGAUUAGAUACCCUGGUAGUCCACGCCGUAAACGAUGCUAACUCGUUUUUGGGCUUUCGGGUUCAGAGACUAAGCGAAAGUGAUAAGUUAGCCACCUGGGGAGUACGUUCGCAAGAAUG
rnacentral:rRNA from 1 species